rnacentral:rRNA from 1 species
CUGCCAAGGGCAUGGCUGGGUAGCUAUGUACGGAAUGGAUAAGCGCUGAAAGCAUCUAAGCGCGAAGCCAACUUCAAGAUAAGAUUUCCCACCGCAAGGGUAAGACCCCAGAAAGACUAACUGGUUGAUAGGUCGAAGGUGUAAGUGCAGCAAUGUAUUUAGCUUAUCGAUCCUAAUAGGUCGAGGACUUGACCAAU